UGGGGAAUAUUGGACAAUGGGCGCAAGCCUGAUCCAGCAAUGCCGCGUGUGUGAAGAAGGCCUUUUGGUUGUAAAGCACUUUAAGCGAGGAGGAGGCUACUUGGAUUAAUACUCUAGGAUAGUGGACGUUACUCGCAGAAUAAGCACCGGCUAACUCUGUGCCAGCAGCCGCGGUAAUACAGAGGGUGCGAGCGUUAAUCGGAUUUACUGGGCGUAAAGCGUGCGUAGGCGGCUUCUUAAGUCGGAUGUGAAAUCCCUGAGCUUAACUUAGGAAUUGCAUUCGAUACUGGGAAGCUAGAGUAUGGGAGAGGAUGGUAGAAUUCCAGGUGUAGCGGUGAAAUGCGUAGAGAUCUGGAGGAAUACCGAUGGUGAAGGCAGCCAUCUGGCCUAAUACUGACGCUGAGGUACGAAAGCAUGGGGAGCAAACAGG
rnacentral:rRNA from 1 species